rnacentral:rRNA from 1 species
GGGGAAUUUUGGACAAUGGGCGAAAGCCUGAUCCAGCCAUGCCGCGUGAGUGAAGAAGGCCUUCGGGUUGUAAAGCUCUUUCAGACGGAAAGAAAUUGCUCUGGUUAAUAACUGGAGUAGAUGACGGUACCGUAAGAAGAAGCACCGGCUAACUACGUGCCAGCAGCCGCGGUAAUACGUAGGGUGCGAGCGUUAAUCGGAAUUACUGGGCGUAAAGCGUGCGCAGGCGGUUGCAUAAGACAGAUGUGAAAUCCCCGGGCUCAACCUGGGAACUGCGUUUGUGACUGUGCGACUGGAGUACGGUAGAGGGGGGUGGAAUUCCUGGUGUAGCAGUGAAAUGCGUAGAUAUCAGGAGGAACAUCGAUGGCGAAGGCAGCCCCCUGGACCUGUACUGACGCUCAUGCACGAAAGCGUGGGGAGCAAAC